UUCCAGACUCCUACGGGAGGCAGCAGUGGGGGAUAUUGCACAAUGGGGGAAACCCUGAUGCAGCGACGCCGCGUGAAGGAAGAAGUAUCUCGGUAUGUAAACUUCUAUCAGCAGGGAAGAAAAUGACGGUACCUGACCAAGAAGCCCCGGCUAACUACGUGCCAGCAGCCGCGGUAAUACGUAGGUGGCAAGCGUUGUCCGGAUUUACUGGGUGUAAAGGGCGUGUAGCCGGGUUGACAAGUCAGAUGUGAAAUCCUGCGGCUUAACCGCAGAACUGCAUUUGAAACUGUUGAUCUUGAGUACUGGAGAGGCAGACGGAAUUCCUAGUGUAGCGGUGAAAUGCGUAGAUAUUAGGAGGAACACCAGUGGCGAAGGCGGUCUGCUGGACAGCAACUGACGGUGAGGCGCGAAAGCGUGGGGAGCAAACAGGAUUAGAUACCCUUGUAAAG
rnacentral:rRNA from 1 species